CGGCAGGCUUAACACAUGCAAGUCGAGGGGUAUGGUUCUUCGGAACCAGAGACCGGCGCACGGGUGCGUAACGCGUAUGCAAUCUGCCUUUCACAGAGGGAUAGCCCAGAGAAAUUUGGAUUAAUACCUCAUAGUAUAGCGACAUCGCAUGAUGAUGCUAUUAAAGUCACAACGGUGAAAAAUGAGCAUGCGUCCCAUUAGCUAGUUGGUAAGGUAACGGCUUACCAAGGCAACGAUGGGUAGGGGUCCUGAGAGGGAGAUCCCCCACACUGGUACUGAGACACGGACCAGACUCCUACGGGAGGCAGCAGUGAGGAAUAUUGGUCAAUGGGCGCAAGCCUGAACCAGCCAUGCCGCGUGCAGGAUGACGGUCCUAUGGAUUGUAAACUGCUUUUGCACAGGAAGAAACACUGAUUCGUGAAUCAGCUUGACGGUACUGUGAGAAUAAGGAUCGGCUAACUCCGUGCCAGCAGCCGCGGUAAUACGGAGGAUCCAAGCGUUAUCCGGAAUCAUUGGGUUUAAAGGGUCCGUAGGCGGUCUGGUAAGUCAGUGGUGAAAGCCCAUCGCUCAACGGUGGAACGGCCAUUGAUACUGCUGGACUUGAAUUAUUAGGAAGUGACUAGAAUAUGUAGUGUAGCGGUGAAAUGCUUAGAGAUUACAUGGAAUACCAAUUGCGAAGGCAGGUUACUACUAAUGGAUUGACGCUGAUGGACGAAAGCGUGGGUAGCGAACAGGAUUAGAUACCCUGGUAGUCCACGCCGUAAACGAUGGAUACUAGCUGUUGGAAGCAAUUUCAGUGGCUAAGCGAAAGUGAUAAGUAUCCCACCCUGGGGA
rnacentral:rRNA from 1 species